AUAUAUAUAUAUAUAUAUCAUUAUGACCAUACCUUUCAAUCAGACCUCUGGAGAGAGUAGGCAAAGAACGGAGAUGAGCACUGGGUGCUUGAGAUAGUGUAGCCCAAGAGAUAAACAGCAGGACAGAUGUAUCAGAUAUUACCUGCUUGACAACCAGAAUGUUUGCCAGGCUACUGGUGUAACAUCAAGUGAGGAUUGUUUUCAUAUGCUGGUGAUGACAUCUCCUAUGCUCCUCCAAAGAAGCAACAACAACAACAACAAAAGGAGGCACCGCAGAGGCUGAAGUGCACAUGGGUGCUGCAAGCAACAGGAAACUGAGCAGAUCUUCACAUCACGGAGCUUGUUUCUGCAGUGGCAGCUACUUAUCCUCAUGAGUGUCAACUUAAAAAGCAGCCUGCCCUACCAGCUUGAAAGAGACAACAUUAACUCUCUAACGACACUAUUUUGUUUAAUGCCCUUGUAAUAUCCAGUAGAAUCCAGCAGAAGACAUGUCUAUGGACAGGUAGGUCAGCAGCUGGAUGGCCUCUUCCCAUGCCGUGAGAUGGGCUGUGCUGGCAUGUGCACAGCAGGUAGGGGUACUCCCAGGACCAGCACUUUUCUCUCCUACUUGGGGACCCCCACAACAUCCUGGGGGCUGGUGGCCAUGAACGAAGAGCAUGCAGGAACCGUCCUUGGGGUUUAGCCAUUGAGUUCUCAUUCCUGGCAAAGUUCCCCGUUUCUUCGUUGUAACCUGGGUGUCAUUGCUUGCCAGGCUGCAGAAGUCCUCAGAUCAGAGGAAGCUCUUCUGUGAAAUAUCUAUAUGAACCAGCCUUUGAACUUCCCUAAUACUGGAGUUAUUCCUGUCUGAGGAUUUGCUCUGGGCCCCUCUCAGUGUUGACUUUUUCUUGCUUUUGGACUAUCUAGGGCAAUAAAGAUUUUUCAACCCUUAAAAGCACCUACUUUUGGAUACCAAAGAAGACCAUUCUGAUCUACUUUUAGGAAAAUGGGUGGUAUGAGGACAAGUUUAAAGCUGUUUAUCCAAAUACUGUCCUUUGGCACUACUACAAAUAAAUUAAUUCUCAGUGUGCUGAUGUUUAUCAACCUUUCUGCUGACCUGCUAGCAAGUGAACAGUUCCUUUACAGACGACCAUUGAUUUGUUCAGCAAAUAGAGAUGAAAGCUUUAGAGAUGGACUGUUGCCUGUAUUUCUGCUCAACAUGCAAGAGGUUCCAGGGAUCUCCAUUUUGAAAAGGGCAGCAGUAUUCCUGAUGGGAAGAUUUUUUCUCACACACUGGCAAUUCUACAUUUUGCUGGAUCAGCUCCAGGAGAGACAAGUUAAUGCCCCGUGUAGUUUGUUUUCAUAUUGAGCAAACCCUGCUGAGAAACUGGAAAAUAGAGAUUUAAACUGAUAAGCUUGCAAAAGACAGCUGACUCAUCAAGUGUCAUGAAACAAGGAUUCCCACACUGUGAUACAUCUGAAAGUGUUGAACUUGUACGAGCCUAAUCCCCCAUCCUUCUCCUUGAGGUGUUGGGGAAUCACAAGAUGCUCCUUCUUGGUUAGGGGAGACUUCUACCUCCCCAUCACAGUAUGAGGCCUUCCUUCUAGCAACUGUGCCCGACCACAUGAAGAUGACCCAAACCACAGCACUGGUGUUAUGUUUGCAAAUGGAGAUGAGAUUAGACAGACCAGCAAGCUCCAUACCUGCUUUGGAUGAGAACAGGAUCGUUGUACGUGACACUACUUAAUUUAGAUUUGAUCAAAGUUCAGAGUGCGAUUUUUGGAGUCAAACAUGCGAAAGAACUUAAUUCAGAAGUAGUUUACAAGGAUUACUAGAUUGCUACUUUGAAACAGACUGAGUAAAUACUAAUCUCACUUUGCACCAGGAAAAGGCUGAAAUUAUAAAAGUGGGUUUGGAUCUUGUCUGAAGCAUAGUCUGAAUCUCAGCAAAAGGGUAUACUACCAACAUCUCUUUUUCUUGACCUUGCUGGAGCAAACUCUCAACUCUCGUGACGAGGGAUAAUGUUUGGGUCACAGUCAACGCUAGGCUUUGCUUUGCAAAUGAGCAAAAUGUCUACUGGGGCAUCUUGCUUCAGCAUGAGGAGCUUGGUGAAGAUGACCACUCACGUUCUGGUGUUUGUAGUUCCUCCCAAGAAGGACACACACUUUCCAGCAGGCGCUUAUACAUGGCACAAAGACCUGAGCAGAUGAUGGGAAAAGGCACCAUCACUUCUUUUCUCGACCGCAAGUCCCUUGGACGCCUCAAUGGAUACCAAUGCUUGGGUGCCAGGAGCUAUGCUGCUCAUCCUGAGCCCAGCUGUCCUGCUCAUCCAAGGGCUUCCUUUGGCAUCUUUCUUGGUAGCCAGAGAAGGGAGUACUCACAACAACACUGCUCGGUAAACAUUCAUUUAAUGGAAAAAAAUGGAUAGUUUUCUUUUGUUGGAAAUUUUUCAUGCAUUAUUUUUGUUUAGGAAAACAUGAUAUCAUUCUGAUGGUAAGAAAACAAACCAGCAUGCCAGCUUUCUGUUAAGCCUAAAAUAUCACCUCCUAUUUUUCAUUUAGGAAUAUAAAAGAAGAAAGUGGAGAAAUAAAAUAACCAAGACCCAA